rnacentral:rRNA from 1 species
UUGAACGCUGGCGGCAGGCCUAACACAUGCAAGUCGAGCGGAUGAAGGGAGCUUGCUCCUGGAUUCAGCGGCGGACGGGUGAGUAAUGCCUAGGAAUCUGCCUGGUAGUGGGGGAUAACGUCCGGAAACGGGCGCUAAUACCGCAUACGUCCUGAGGGAGAAAGUGGGGGAUCUUCGGGCCUCACGCUAUCAGAUGAGCCUAGGUCGGAUUAGCUAGUUGGUGGGGUAAAGGCCUACCAAGGCGACGAUCCGUAACUGGUCUGAGAGGAUGAUCAGUCACACUGGAACUGAGACACGGUCCAGACUCCUACGGGAGGCAGCAGUGGGGAAUAUUGGACAAUGGGCGAAAGCCUGAUCCAGCCAUGCCGCGUGUGUGAAGAAGGUCUUCGGAUUGUAAAGCACUUUAAGUUGGGAGGAAGGGCAGUAAGUUAAUACCUUGCUGUUUUGACGUUACCAACAGAAUAAGCACCGGCUAACUUCGUG